GGGGGCGACCUGGUUUCGACGUGGGUCACGAAGCAGUGCAGUGCAUACCGAGGACCAGUUCCCUCGUAAAUCCACUGGAACAGCUAUAAACGCCAACGACGAGCGUUACGCUCUAGCCGCCUAACACCGGCUAGACGCUGCACUAGUCUGCUGAUGGGCUAGGCCGUGAGGAUCGCGCAAGCGGUUCGAGCGGUGCAGCGUCAUUCACAUCAGCCCCUCUGCGUAGCUUGGUCACUUGGCCGCGCGGAUCCGUCGAAGUGACUGGCCAAGCGUCAGCCUGCCGGCCGGCGGGCGCGAGGCGAGACCCCAAAGGACCAGGCUAAGUAUGUAGACCUGCCUGUGGAGGGCUUGCGGACGCGAGUUCGAUUCUCGCCGCCUCCACCA
rnacentral:tmRNA from 1 species